GCGCCGCGCUGUGACGUAACGACAAGGGGCGCGCGGGGAAAAGAAGGGAGGGGGGAAGGAAGGGGAGGGGGCGCCCGGCGCAUGCGCACGGCGGGAGGCGAAGCAAAGGUCGACUCCUGGCGUGACCCCUGGCCUCUUCCAUCGUUAAAAGACAAAGAGCAGAAAGUGCCUUUCAAGCUGCUUUAAGAAAUCUCAGUGGUGUAAAUUCUUAAGCUGCUUUAAGCACUUCAUGUGGACUGAUGCGAGCUUCUUUAAGGACGUGAUGUGCGCUAAUUACUGACAUCCAUUCAAAAGGUCUCCUUUUCUUCACAGAGUGCAGACUUCAGGCAUCUUUAAUUCCUUUAGUUUCUUCUAGGUUUUGGUGUCUAAAAAUGGAUGCUGUUUAUGAAAACUGUGCCUUGAUUGAAGACGGCUGAAUCCAGUUUUAUUGAACAUAUAAAAUAACAAAAUGUUCUCAGGGAAGAUACUGAACCUGGGAGGCUUUCAGCGCUGAAGGUGGAUAUACCAAAGAUCCGUCUGUAAAAUGAACUGUUACCUUCUUAUAACUGUUCAUUUCUUCUCUUCUAAUAUCUGCCUUACACCUCACCACCCAGAUGCUGACAUUGUGAUGCAGUACCGUUCCGUGAAGGUGUAAAUAUUACAAAAGGGAACAUUCACGGCUUUGCAUACUGUAUUGUUUGUAGACGUUAUAUUGUAGGACAGAAUGUAUUGUGGGAUAUCUAGAGGCAAUGCAGAAGACAAAGUCAGGGCUUUUGUGGCUUAGCAUUGCAUGAGUAAACUAAAUUGAUUCAUUUUCAAUGCACAGUUACUUUCCCAUGUAUUAAAAUUAAUUGAAAUGUUUGCUUUGAUGUGGUUUGCCUGGAACGUUUGUGUUUUAAUCUGUCAGUUAUUCCCUGUGGUUACACCUGAAAUGCCUUUGUAUUUUUAUUCCCUCGGACCAUUAUAAACUAGAACAAUGGUUCUUUUGCAGUCAAAAUUACUGCUAUGAAAUUCUGUCCUGAAGGAAGAAAAGAAAAACCAAAUAUGCACUGAAGUACAGUAGUAAAGAAAAUGUAGCAAAACAGCCAAAUGGUUCUCUUAAGAGGUAUACUGCAGAUAAAAGAAGACAGAAGGCCUUAUAGGACUAGGCCAGAACUCAGGAAAGCAUGGUUUAUUU